UACGGGAGGCAGCAGUGGGGAAUUUUGCACAAUGGGCGCAAGCCUGAUGCAGCAACGCCGCGUGUGUGAUGAAGGUCUUCGGAUCGUAAAGCACUUUCGACCGGGACGAACACCCCUUGGCUAACAUCCAAGGGUCUGACGGUACCGGGAGAAGAAGCACCGGCUAACUCUGUGCCAGCAGCCGCGGUAAUACAGAGGGUGCAAGCGUUGUUCGGAAUUAUUGGGCGUAAAGCGCGUGUAGGCGGCUUUGCAAGUCGGGUGUGAAAGCCCUCAGCUUAACUGAGGAAGUGCGCCCGAAACUGCAGAGCUUGAGUACCGGAGAGGAUGGCGGAAUUCCCCAAGUAGAGGUGAAAUUCGUAGAUAUGGGGAGGAACACCGGUGGCGAAGGCGGCCAUCUGGACGGAUACUGACGCUGAGACGCGAAAGCGUGGGUAGCAAACAGGAUUAGAUACCCUGGUAG
rnacentral:rRNA from 1 species